rnacentral:lncRNA from 10 species
AUCUGUCAGAGAAGGCAUUUCCUAAGUGGAAGCAAGCAGCAGCUUAGCCGGGAUUCUCUUCUGAGUGGGUGCCACCCCGGCUUCGGACCCUUGGGCGUAGAGUUGCGGAAGAACCUGGCCGCAGAAUGGUGGACCUCGGUGGUGGUGUUCAGGGAGCAGGUAUUCCCGGUGGACGCCCUCCACCACAAACCAGGCCCUUUGCUACCCGGGGACAGUGCCUUCAGGUUAGUUUCUGCAGAAACUCUACGCGAAAUCUUGCAAGACAAAGAGCUGAGUAAGGAACAGCUAGUAGCAUUUCUUGAGAACGUAUUAAAAACUUCUGGGAAACUACGGGAGAACCUUCUUCACGGUAUGCUUCACGAUUUCAUGCUUCAAAACAGGUGUCGGGUGGAAAGGCGAGGCAGUCUUGCUGGAUCUUGGGGAUUGCAACUGGCCCUGUAUUCCCAUGCAAGGAAGUUAGUUAGUUCUCAUCUUUUUGAAGUAGUCGGAUAUAUUAACAGUGCUCUACCCUGGAGAAAACUGGUCCAUGGAAUCAUUGCUGUUCCUUAAACAAUCUGUCCGAAGGACCUGGGAACGCUCUCAAUUUCACGGGGCAACUUCUGAACACAGUGCUGUCAUUUAGUGCAAUGUAGUCUAAGUGCAUAAGGAACUACACAGACAUUUUGAACUUUUCUUAGAUUUAUUCUAAGUAAAAAUGUUGAAAUUAUAAUUCUGAAACUAUUUCAUGUAUAUCAUAGGAUAAAUCAAGGCCAGGCGCAGUGGCUCACGCCUGUAAUCCCAGCAUUUUGCAAGGCAGAGGCGGGUGGAUCACCUGAGGUCAGGAGUUCGAGACUAGCCUGGCCAACAUGGUGAAACCCCGUCUCUACUAAAAAGACAAAAAUUAGCCGGCCGUGACGGCGAGCGCCUGUAAUCCCAGCUACUUGGGAGGCUGAGGCAGGAGAAUCGCUUGAACCCAGGAGGCAGAGGUUGCAGUGAGCCGAGAUCACGCCACUGCACUCCAGCUUGGGUGACAAGAGCAAAACUCCGUCUUAAAAAAAAAAAAUUCAAAUAGUUGGGUUAGUUGUUAUUAGGAACCAAGAUAUUCAUUGUAAAAGAAGAGAUAAUAUGUAAAAGAAGGUGCCUUGGAACACUAUGUUAAUUGCCUGGAUCUGGUAAACAAGAGGCUACCUUAUGGCCUUGCUCAGAUUGGAGUGUGUUUUCAUCCUGUUUUUGACACUAAGCAGAUACGAAAUGGUGUUAAAAGUAUUGGUGAGAAGACUGAAGCUUCGUUAGUAUGGUUUACUCCUCCGAGAACUUCAAACCAGUGGCUUGAUUUCUGGUUACGUCAUCGACUCCAGUGGUGGAGAAAGUUUGCCAUGAGUCCAUCUAACUUCAGCAGCAGUGACUGUCAGGAUGAAGAAGGCCGGAAAGGAAACAAACUUUACUACAAUUUUCCCUGGGGAAAGGAGUUAAUAGAAACCCUGUGGAACCUAGGAGAUCACGAACUUUUACACAUGUAUCCUGGCAAUGUGUCUAAAUUACAUAUGCAGAGACACUCACCUACAUAACUACAAUCCAGUCAUCAAAAUCAGGAAAUUAACAGUAAUCCACUAUUGCCACAGAGCCCUACAAAUUGAACUGAUUAUCUCAAUAAUGGCAUUUAUAGGUCCAAGAUCUUGUCUUUCAUGUAGUUGUCAUAUGCCUUUACACUCCUUCAAAUGAACAAUUCCUCUUGUCUUGCGUGACCUUGACA